AAGGGGCCUUCGGUCCUGAGUAAAGCGGCGCACGGGUGAGUAACACGUGGGUAAUCUGCCCUAGAGUGGGGAAUAACACCGGGAAACCGGUGCUAAUACCGCAUACGAUCGCGAUGUCUUCGGAUGUUGUGAUGAAAGGAGCAAUUCGCUCUUGGAGGAGCCCGCGGCUGAUUAGCUAGUUGGUGAGGUAAUGGCUCACCAAGGCUGCGAUCAGUAGCCGGUCUGAGAGGACGGUCGGCCACACUGGAACUGAGACACGGUCCAGACUCCUACGGGAGGCAGCAGUGGGGAAUUUUUCGCAAUGGGGGCAACCCUGACGAAGCAACGCCGCGUGGGUGAUGAAGUCUCUUGGGACGUAAAACCCUUUCGACGGGGAAGAAACCGCAAGGUUGACGGUACCCGUAGAAGAAGCCCCGGCUAACUCCGUGCCAGCAGCCGCGGUAAUACGGGGGGGGCAAGCGUUGUUCGGAAUUACUGGGCGUAAAGGGCGCGUAGGCGGUUCGCUAAGUUGAAUGUGAAAACUCUGGGCUUAACCCAGAGCCUGCAUUCAAUACUGGCGGGCUAGAGUUCUGGAGGGGAUAGCGGAAUUCCUGGUGUAGCGGUGAAAUGCGUAGAUAUCAGGAGGAACACCGGUGGCGAAGGCGGCUAUCUGGACAGAGUCUGACGCUGAGGCGCGAAAGCUAGGGGAGCAAACAGGAUUAGAUACCCUGGUAGUCCUAGCCCUAAACGAUGGAUACUUGCUGU
rnacentral:rRNA from 1 species